GGGUUGUGAGGUUAAGCGACUAAGCGUACACGGUGGAUGCCCUGGCAGUCAGAGGCGAUGAAGGACGUGCUAAUCUGCGAUAAGCGUCGGUAAGGUGAUAUGAACCGUUAUAACCGGCGAUUUCCGAAUGGGGAAACCCAGUGUGAUUCGUCACACUAUCAUUAACUGAAUCCAUAGGUUAAUGAGGCGAACCGGGGGAACUGAAACAUCUAAGUACCCCGAGGAAAAGAAAUCAACCGAGAUUCCCCCAGUAGCGGCGAGCGAACGGGGAGCAGCCCAGAGCCUGAAUCAGUGUGUGUGUUAGUGGAAGCGUCUGGAAAGGCGUGCGAUACAGGGUGACAGCCCCGUACACAAAAAUGCACAUGCUGUGAGCUCGAUGAGUAGGGCGGGACACGUGGUAUCCUGUCUGAAUAUGGGGGGGACCAUCCUCCAAGGCUAAAUACUCCUGACUGACCGAUAGUGAACCAGUACCGUGAGGGAAAGGCGAAAAGAACCCCGGCGAGGGGAGUGAAAAAGAACCUGAAACCGUGUACGUACAAGCAGUGGGAGCACAGAGCAAUCUGUGUGACUGCGUACCUUUUGUAUAAUGGGUCAGCGACUUAUAUUCUGUAGCAAGGUUAACCGAAUAGGGGAGCCGAAGGGAAACCGAGUCUUAACUGGGCGUUAAGUUGCAGGGUAUAGACCCGAAACCCGGUGAUCUAGCCAUGGGCAGGUUGAAGGUUGGGUAACACUAACUGGAGGACCGAACCGACUAAUGUUGAAAAAUUAGCGGAUGACUUGUGGCUGGGGGUGAAAGGCCAAUCAAACCGGGAGAUAGCUGGUUCUCCCCGAAAGCUAUUUAGGUAGCGCCUCGUGAAUUCAUCUCCGGGGGUAGAGCACUGUUUCGGCAAGGGGGUCAUCCCGACUUACCAACCCGAUGCAAACUGCGAAUACCGGAGAAUGUUAUCACGGGAGACACACGGCGGGUGCUAACGUCCGUCGUGAAGAGGGAAACAACCCAGACCGCCAGCUAAGGUCCCAAAGUCAUGGUUAAGUGGGAAACGAUGUGGGAAGGCCCAGACAGCCGUGAUGUUGGCUUAGAAGCAGCCAUCAUUUAAAGAAAGCGUAAUAGCUCACUGGUCGAGUCGGCCUGCGCGGAAGAUGUAACGGGGCUAAACCAUGCACCGAAGCUGCGGCAGCGACGCUUAUGCGUUGUUGGGUAGGGGAGCGUUCUGUAAGCCUGCGAAGGUGUGCUGUGAGGCAUGCUGGAGGUAUCAGAAGUGCGAAUGCUGACAUAAGUAACGAUAAAGCGGGUGAAAAGCCCGCUCGCCGGAAGACCAAGGGUUCCUGUCCAACGUUAAUCGGGGCAGGGUGAGUCGACCCCUAAGGCGAGGCCGAAAGGCGUAGUCGAUGGGAAACAGGUUAAUAUUCCUGUACUUGGUGUUACUGCGAAGGGGGGGACGGAGAAGGCUAUGUUGGCCGGGCGACGGUUGUCCCGGUUUAAGCGUGUAGGCUGGUUUUCCAGGCAAAUCCGGAAAACUAAGGCUGAGGCGUGAUGACGAGGCACUACGGUGCUGAAGCAACAAAUGCCCUGCUUCCAGGAAAAGCCUCUAAGCAUCAGGUAACAUCAAAUCGUACCCCAAACCGACACAGGUGGUCAGGUAGAGAAUACCAAGGCGCUUGAGAGAACUCGGGUGAAGGAACUAGGCAAAAUGGUGCCGUAACUUCGGGAGAAGGCACGCUGAUAUGUAGGUGAAGCGACUUGCUCGUGGAGCUGAAAUCAGUCGAAGAUACCAGCUGGCUGCAACUGUUUAUUAAAAACACAGCACUGUGCAAACACGAAAGUGGACGUAUACGGUGUGACGCCUGCCCGGUGCCGGAAGGUUAAUUGAUGGGGUCAGCGCAAGCGAAGCUCUUGAUCGAAGCCCCGGUAAACGGCGGCCGUAACUAUAACGGUCCUAAGGUAGCGAAAUUCCUUGUCGGGUAAGUUCCGACCUGCACGAAUGGCGUAAUGAUGGCCAGGCUGUCUCCACCCGAGACUCAGUGAAAUUGAACUCGCUGUGAAGAUGCAGUGUACCCGCGGCAAGACGGAAAGACCCCGUGAACCUUUACUAUAGCUUGACACUGAACAUUGAGCCUUGAUGUGUAGGAUAGGUGGGAGGCUUUGAAGUGUGGACGCCAGUCUGCAUGGAGCCGACCUUGAAAUACCACCCUUUAAUGUUUGAUGUUCUAACGUUGACCCGUGAUCCGGGUUGCGGACAGUGUCUGGUGGGUAGUUUGACUGGGGCGGUCUCCUCCUAAAGAGUAACGGAGGAGCACGAAGGUUGGCUAAUCCUGGUCGGACAUCAGGAGGUUAGUGCAAUGGCAUAAGCCAGCUUGACUGCGAGCGUGACGGCGCGAGCAGGUGCGAAAGCAGGUCAUAGUGAUCCGGUGGUUCUGAAUGGAAGGGCCAUCGCUCAACGGAUAAAAGGUACUCCGGGGAUAACAGGCUGAUACCGCCCAAGAGUUCAUAUCGACGGCGGUGUUUGGCACCUCGAUGUCGGCUCAUCACAUCCUGGGGCUGAAGUAGGUCCCAAGGGUAUGGCUGUUCGCCAUUUAAAGUGGUACGCGAGCUGGGUUUAGAACGUCGUGAGACAGUUCGGUCCCUAUCUGCCGUGGGCGCUGGAGAACUGAGGGGGGCUGCUCCUAGUACGAGAGGACCGGAGUGGACGCAUCACUGGUGUUCGGGUUGUCAUGCCAAUGGCACUGCCCGGUAGCUAAAUGCGGAAGAGAUAAGUGCUGAAAGCAUCUAAGCACGAAACUUGCCCCGAGAUGAGUUCUCCCUGACUCCUUGAGAGUCCUGAAGGAACGUUGAAGACGACGACGUUGAUAGGCCGGGUGUGUAAGCGCAGCGAUGCGUUGAGCUAACCGGUACUAAUGAACCGUGAGGCUUAACCUUACAACGCCGAAGGUGUUU
rnacentral:rRNA from 1 species